GAUGAACGCUGGCGGCGUGCCUAAUACAUGCAAGUCGAGCGAAUGGAUUAAGAGCUUGCUCUUAUGAAGUUAGCGGCGGACGGGUGAGUAACACGUGGGUAACCUGCCCAUAAGACUGGGAUAACUCCGGGAAACCGGGGCUAAUACCGGAUAACAUUUUGAACCGCAUGGUUCGAAAUUGAAAGGCGGCUUCGGCUGUCACUUAUGGAUGGACCCGCGUCGCAUUAGCUAGGUGGUGAGGUAACGGCUCACCAAGGCAACGAUGCGUAGCCGGCCGGGAAGGGGGAUCGGCCAAACUGGGACUGAGCCACGGCCCAGACUCCUGCGGGACGCAGCAGUAGGGAAUCUUCCGCAAUGGACGAAAGUCUGACGGAGCAACGCCGCGUGAGUGAUGAAGGCUUUCGGGUCGUAAAACUCUGUUGUUAGGGAAGAACAAGUGCUAGUUGAAUAAGCUGGCACCUUGACGGUACCUAACCAGAAAGCCACGGCUAACUACGUGCCAGCCGCCGCGGUAA
rnacentral:rRNA from 1 species